GGAGGCCAAACAAGCGUCAACUUCCAAUGGGGUCAGGUCGCAUUACCCCAUGAAAACGUUCCAGUUCAGGUACUAGUACUAUCUAUUAAGACUUGUAAAUAUAUGUUCGACUUAGAAACUGAUUUUUUGGUUUGUCAUUACUAUCUGUGUCGUUUUAUGAGGGAAGAACGAAAUAUCUGACUAAAGCUUCAUAGUAAUGGAAGUUGAAGACUGAGCAUGAAAGGCUGCAGGUAUGUGUUUUGUGGCAAAUUAUGCUUGACUUGUAUAUCAGCUUUUUUCUCGAUUUGUGUAUCUGAUCCGUUAAUUCGUUGAAUGAGAAAUGAGGGUCCAUUCCUUGCAAUGAAAUUAAAAACAGGGAGCACUCUGUCGGUUAAUUUACCUUACCCUGCAUGUUGUUUUUUUUUUUUCAAAAUUCUCUCGUCGUAACUCAUGACAUAUUUCAUGUGCAUUAAAAAAAAAAAAAAGAAAAGAAAAGUGAGAACUGAAUAACAAGAAGACGUUAAUGAGAAGGAUCAGGUUCCAUCUCAAUCCGUCUGCAGCUCACAUUUUAGUUGCAAAAGAGGAUUUUAAUAAAGCAGCGUUAGUCUUGUACGAGUUGGAAAAGUUGCUGCAUGGUGUCACUCACGUACAAGUAGGAAAGUUGCUUAAUCUUGUGUUUUUUUCUUCUGGAAAACCCCCAAAAUUCAAACUGCUUCGGCUCUGAAAUCAACCCGACUUGGCAUAACAAAAAAUUAUAAUCGAUUUUGUUUAGCCUUAUUUCUCUUGAAUUACGUCCGGAGCAGUUGCCAACUUUCAAAACGUCGUAUUUAUUAUGUACAGCUAAUUCAUUUUCAUAGAAUAUGGUAUGUGAUCUAUUACAAAGAAAUAAUUGAGGUGUUAUAAACAAUUUCGUUGGUGCUAAUAUCACAAUUCGCUUGAAACAGACAAAAAGUAGACGAUUGUUACAGCAAGAUUGCUCCUCGAAUUGAAUGAAGAAAAUAAAUGAAUGCUAAAUAGAAAUAUAGAAUAGAUUUUCUUUCUGACUUUAAGUUCAUUGUCGAGAUAAGAAGGGCGCAACACGUAAAAUCAAAUACAUUAUUGUUGAGAUUAAUUUCUACGCACUGUGAGUUGAAAACUAGCUACAUUAUUAGACAACAUAACAACGAGACUUAUCCUCCUUGUAGUCCUUAGCUUGCAUCAUUUUUGCAUCUCCCUCAAUUUUUUCCUUUCUCUUUUUUUUUUUUUGUUUAGGAUUAAAACUUUUAUAAGCCCGCACCAUCUUUCUUCGUUCUUCUCUCUCGUCUUUAAUUUGAUUGGAUUUGACCCGGCAGCUCAUGUCCAUUAAUUUUUUUGUUACGGAUAGAAGAAAUAGACGUUCGAUUAAAGAAAGGGGCAGAAGAUUAAAUGAUCGAACUCUCACAUUGACAGGACGUUCGUACGACUCUUGCUCCAUUUAAAGCACGGUAACAAGGAGUCAACAUGAAUUUUGUGUGAAUUUGUAUUUACCACCGUACCCUUAUGAAAUUCUCUCUUUUUCUCGGGGGCCGCUAAUCCCUAAUCUAUGUAUUUAAUCAUCACUUGAUUCACGCACCCGCAUGAUGAUGAUUGAACAUGCAUGGGGUAAAAAUAUUAGCGUGAUUUUACGAGCGAGUGCCACUUGCACUUGAAUAUUCACCGCAACACUUCUGCGAAAGAUUUUUUAUUUUUUUGACAUUGACAGAUUAAAACGUGAAAAUGCUUUACAAAUGCCACUCCGCUAUCAGGUUUCAGAAACUUGACGAUGUCCAUGAUCCACCGCCACACCACUAGACUCUCUUCUACUUUUCCGGCGAGAGUUCACCGGCGGGGAAGACUUUCCGGCGU
rnacentral:lncRNA from 1 species